rnacentral:rRNA from 1 species
UCGUGACUAACUUCCAUAAACUGAUUAAGACAUAUAUAUCUGAAAAGUUCAGUCAUAUGGCGGUUCUGUGUCUAACUAGAGAAACAUGUUUAUUAGUACGAUAGUACACGAACAUCUUACUUAUAAUUACCUUACACACCGUCGUCGGAAGAGCUGUAUGGGAAUAUAGUUCUUAUACUUAAUUUAGUAUUAAGUCAGAUCAAGGCGUAGGAUCAUUUAUAAGAUUAAAUGUGUCUCGUUGAGUUUAUUAUGAAUUAAUUUUGAGAGACCUAUAUAUGAAAAAGAAUCUAGAAGUAAUAGAAUUCAUUAAACUUCUAUGAAAUUAGCUACGCACUAUGU